rnacentral:lncRNA from 1 species
GGUAGUUUAUGAAACUGUUAUAUAAAUAAAUAUUAUAGCACCUUAACUGAAUUGGUCAAUAUAUUGAUAACUAAGGGAUCUUGAAAAAGUUUAGAGGCACAUACCUAGAGAACCUAAAUAAAUAUUGACACACCCUUUGGAAGGUAUGUCGAAUUGCUCAAAUUUGAUCUUAUGAUUUUUUUUUUAUUAGACUCUAGUGCAUAUUACGCACUUUAGUAUAGGGUCUA